CUCCAGACUCCUACGGGAGGCAGCAGUGGGGAAUAUUGCACAAUGGGGGAAACCCUGAUGCAGCGACGCCGCGUGAGUGAAGAAGUAUUUCGGUAUGUAAAGCUCUAUCAGCAGGGAAGAAAAUGACGGUACCUGACCAAGAAGCCCCGGCUAACUACGUGCCAGCAGCCGCGGUAAUACGUAGGGGGCAAGCGUUAUCCGGAUUUACUGGGUGUAAAGGGAGCGUAGACGGUUGUGCAAGUCAGAAGUGAAAGCCCGGGGCUCAACUCCGGGACUGCUUUUGAAACUGUGAAACUGGAGUGCAGGAGAGGUAAGCGGAAUUCCUGGUGUAGCGGUGAAAUGCGUAGAUAUUAGGAGGAACACCAGUGGCGAAGGCGGCCUACUGGACGGUGACUGACGCUGAGGCUCGAAAGCGUGGGGAGCAAACAGGAUUAGAUACCCCUGUA
rnacentral:rRNA from 1 species